UACAGAGGGUGCGAGCGUUAAUCGGAAUUACUGGGCGUAAAGCGUGCGUAGACGGCUAUCUAAGUCGGGUGUGAAAGCCCCGGGCUCAACCUGGGAAUUGCAUUCGAGACUGAAUAGCUAGGGUACGGUAGAGGGAAGCGGAAUUUCCGGUGUAGCGGUGAAAUGCGUAGAUAAUCGGAAGGAACAUCAGUGGCGAAAGCGGCUUUCU
rnacentral:rRNA from 1 species